rnacentral:rRNA from 1 species
GCUCAACCGGGGAGGGUCAUUGGAAACUGGGGAACUUGAGUGCAGAAGAGGAGAGUGGAAUUCCACGUGUAGCGGUGAAAUGCGUAGAGAUGUGGAGGAACACCAGUGGCGAAGGCGACUCUCUGGUCUGUAACUGACGCUGAGGCGCGAAAGCGUGGGGAGCGAACAGGAUUAGAUACCCUGGUAGUCCACGCCGUAAACGAUGAGUGCUAAGUGUUAGAGGGUUUCCGCCCUUUAGUGCUGCAGCAAACGCAUUAAGCACUCUGCCUGGGGAGUACGGUCGCAAGACUGAAUCUCAAAGGAAUUGACGGGGGCCCGCACAAGCGGUGGAGCAUGUGGUUUAAUUCGAAGCAACGCGAAGAACCUUACCAGGUCUUGACAUCCUCUGACAACCCUAGAGAUAGGGCUUCCCCUUCGGGGGCAGAGUGACAGGUGGUGCAUGGUUGUCGUCAGCUCGUGUCGUGAGAUGUUGGGUUAAGUCCCGCAACGAGCGCAACCCUUGAUCUUAGUUGCCAGCAUUCAGUUGGGCACUCUAAGGUGACUGCCGGUGACAAACCGGAGGAAGGUGGGGAUGACGUCAAAUCAUCAUGCCCCUUAUGACCUGGGCUACACACGUGCUACAAUGGGCAGAACGAAG